AGUGAGCGCUGGCGGUAGGCCUAACACAUGCAAGUCGAACGGCAGCACAGUAAGAGCUUGCUCUUACGGGUGGCGAGUGGCGGACGGGUGAGGAAUACAUCGGAAUCUACUUUUUCGUGGGGGAUAACGUAGGGAAACUUACGCUAAUACCGCAUACGACCUACGGGUGAAAGCAGGGGAUCUUCGGACCUUGCGCGAUUGAAUGAGCCGAUGUCGGAUUAGCUAGUUGGCGGGGUAAAGGCCCACCAAGGCGACGAUCCGUAGCUGGUCUGAGAGGAUGAUCAGCCACACUGGAACUGAGACACGGUCCAGGCUCCUACGGGAGGCAGCAGUGGGGAAUAGUGGACGAUGGGCGCAAGCCUGAUCCAGCCAUACCGCGUGGGUGAAGAAGGCCUUCGGGUUGUAAAGCCCUUUUGUUGGGAAAGAAAAGCAGCAGGUUAAUACCCCGCUGUUCUGACGGUACCCGAAGAAUAAGCACCGGCUAACUUCGUG
rnacentral:rRNA from 1 species